GGGUAACCUGCCCAGAAGUAGGGGAUAACACCUGGAAACAGAUGCUAAUACCGUAUAACAGAGAAAACCGCAUGGUUUUCUUUUAAAAGAUGGCUCUGCUAUCACUUCUGGAUGGACCCGCGGCGUAUUAGCUAGUUGGUGAGGUAAAGGCUCACCAAGGCAGUGAUACGUAGCCGACCUGAGAGGGUAAUCGGCCACAUUGGGACUGAGACACGGCCCAGACUCCUACGGGAGGCAGCAGUAGGGAAUCUUCCACAAUGGACGCAAGUCUGAUGGAGCAACGCCGCGUGAGUGAAGAAGGGUUUCGGCUCGUAAAGCUCUGUUGUUAAAGAAGAACGUGGGUAAGAGUAACUGUUUACCCAGUGACGGUAUUUAACCAGAAAGCCACGGCUAACUACGUGCCAGCAGCCGCGGUAAUACGUAGGUGGCAAGCGUUAUCCGGAUUUAUUGGGCGUAAAGCGAGCGCAGGCGGUCUUUUAAGUCUAAUGUGAAAGCCU
rnacentral:rRNA from 1 species